GACUGGUUUGACUUAAAUCGCUUGAUGAGGAUGUGAGGUUUUGCCCAAAUCACUUGAUACAGUAACUGUUUAAAGGUGUGAAGGGUUUCAUCUGGAUUUGAUGCAAUUUCUAAGAGUAAAUCGCAUAUAUUCAUUCUUCAGAUCUAGUAAAUCGGUCACUAAAUCGCUCAGCUAAAUCGCUCACCUUUAUUGCUGGAGGAUUGAAGAUGUUGUUUUGAAGAUGAAGAUGAAGAUGAAGAUGUUGUGAGAUCGGUGCACUUCUCUACCCGAGCAUUAAAUUGAAUUUGCAAUUCCUGAAAUUGUUUUUAUAAACACCACUUGAAACCUGUGAUCGGGGUAAUUCUUUGCUCUGCUGAUUGGUAUAGGCAGCCAUGGUACUUAAAAUAGAAGCAGCAAAUGGUGAAUCAGUAGUUUGUUUAUAGAUUUAAAGCUGUUUGUUGUAGACCUAAUUGAAUUGCAUAUUUUGGUUUGUUGUGUUUGCUGUAGAGAUUGCCGUCAGCAUUUGAAUAAUUGUGUUAUGCACCUGUUGUUUUG